GAUGAACGCUGGCGGCGUGCCUAAUACAUGCAAGUCGAGCGAACAGACGAGGAGCUUGCUCCUCUGACGUUAGCGGCGGACGGGUGAGUAACACGUGGAUAACCUACCUAUAAGACUGGGAUAACUUCGGGAAACCGGAGCUAAUACCGGAUAACAUGUUGAACCGCAUGGUUCAACAGUGAAAGACGGUUUUGCUGUCACUUAUAGAUGGAUCCGCGUCGCAUUAGCUAGUUGGUAAGGUAACGGCUUACCAAGGCAACGAUGCGUAGCCGACCUGAGAGGGUGAUCGGCCACACUGGAACUGAGACACGGUCCAGACUCCUACGGGAGGCAGCAGUAGGGAAUCUUCCGCAAUGGGCGAAAGCCUGACGGAGCAACGCCGCGUGAGUGAAGAAGGUCUUCGGAUCGUAAAACUCUGUUAUUAGGGAAGAACAAAUGUGUAAGUAACUAUGCACGUCUUGACGAUACCUAAUCAGAAAGCCACGGCUAACUACGUG
rnacentral:rRNA from 1 species